AAUAGAUACCCUGGUAGUCCACGCUGUAAACGUUGGACACCAGGUGUGGCGGUCUGAUCAACGACUGCCGUGCCGAAGCUAACGCAUUAAGUGUCCCGCCUGGGGAGUACGGCCGCAAGGCUAAAACUCAAAGGAAUUGACGGGUCCCCGCACAAGCGGCGGAGCAUGCGGCUUAAUUCGAUGCAACCCGAAGAACCUUACCUGGGUUUGACAUCAUGGGAAAAGCCGUGGAAACACGGUGUCCGUAAGGGCCCAUGACAGGUGGUGCAUGGCUGUCGUCAGCUCGUGUCGUGAGAUGUUGGGUUAAGUCCCGCAACGAGCGCAACCCUUGUCCUAUGUUGCCAGCGGUUCGGCCGGGGACUCAUAGGAGACUGCCGGGGAUAACUCGGAGGAAGGUGAGGACGAUGUCAAGUCAUCAUGCCCCUUAUAUCCAGGGCUGCACGCAUGCUACAAUGGUCGGUACAACGGGCAGCGAUCCUGCGAAGGUGAGCGAAUCCCACAAAGCCGGCCUCAGUUCGGAUUGG
rnacentral:rRNA from 1 species